AAUGUCUGGCGCGGUUACAUUUUCAGAAAAAAAAAAUGAGAUAAACCGGAAAAACUCAAAUUUUCCGUAGAAAAAGCGAAGGAAUCUCAUCAGAAACGUUGGAUUAGUACUUGGAAAAAGUUUUGAAGCGUCCGGGAUCCAUCCAGAAUGCGAACCAUCCCCGGAUUUUCUCGACUUAAUCAUGUCCACUUAGAAGCCCACUUAGGGAGGCCCGUUCGAUUACAAGCUGCUUAAAUACCUUAGUUAAAUACCAAUGCAACGAUGUAUUUCAAGCACAUCCACAUGGAUAUUAUUGAUUUAUCCCGUUUAAAUCGACAAUUUCCGUUCAGGCACAAAGAUAAUCGAUGUGUCUAAAGCACAGAAUAGCGGGAUGUCAAGAAACACCACCUCGCUGUUGUGCAAUAGAAUAUGAAGAAGUAUUGUGUGAUUACGUGUAAUUCCACCAGGUAUGACAGCCUGUGUUGGGUGUAUUAUUGAUUUGUAACCUUCCCCAAGUCUUAUAGCAAAUACAAAGUUGUACAGUGGCCAAAAGGGAAAAAAAUAUUAUAGGAAAAUAAAAUAUUAUCUUAAUUUUUUUGAAGAAAAUCUUUUCGGUGUUGCCCUUGAUGACAAUGAUGCACCACUUGGAUCUAUGAAGAAACAUUAGAAAGAGCCAAUCAGUUCAACACAAUAAGUUGUACGGUGGUCAAAAGUACCUUAGAUGUUAUCGAUAUAGUGAAAGAGAGACAGACCCUUCAGCUUCCACAUCACAGGUACCUCAGCCGGAGACGAGCCCCUCGACUGUGAAUGGCACGGAGGGCCACACCCCUAUACUUACUAACACGAAUAAAUAAAUUUAUUCUAUGUAUAAAUAUAUUUUAUUUUCCACCCUAUGUCCAAAAAUAUGAAGCUAAAUAAUUAAAAGAAUUUUCAAAGCUCGAAAUAUCUAGCCAACAUAGUCUUUCGAAAGUCAAAGUGAAUUCAGUACAGUUUGUGGUACAGUACUUUAAUAAACAUUUUGUAUGUGAUCUGUGAUAAAAAUGUUCAAAUACAAUAGUAUCGUCGUAUAGUCAAAAAUAAUUCCAACCUUCUUGACAAAAUGGUGAAGGUGCCGUUUUGAAAAAUGUAAAAAUAACAUAUUGAGCAACUAGUGCGAAAAGUUGUCGAUUGCCCACGAGAGC